rnacentral:rRNA from 1 species
GAGGAAAGCUGGCGGCGCGCCUAAUACAUGCAAGUCGAGCGAACAGACGAGGAGCUUGCUCCUCUGACGUUAGCGGCGGACGGGUGAGUAACACGUGGAUAACCUACCUAUAAGACUGGGAUAACUUCGGGAAACCGGAGCUAAUACCGGAUAAUAUAUUGAACCGCAUGGUUCAAUAGUGAAAGACGGUUUUGCUGUCACUUAUAGAUGGAUCCGCGCCGCAUUAGCUAGUUGGUAAGGUAACGGCUUACCAAGGCAACGAUGCGUAGCCGACCUGAGAGGGUGGUCGGCCACACUGGAACUGAGACACGGUCCAGACUCCUACGGGAGGCAGCAGUAGGGAAUCUUCCGCAAUGGGCGAAAGCCUGACGGAGCAACGCCGCGUGAGUGAUGAAGGUCUUCGGAUCGUAAAACUCUGUUAUUAGGGAAGAACAAAUGUGUAAGUAACUAUGCACGUCUUGACGGUACCUAAUCAGAAAGCCACGGCUAACUACGUG